rnacentral:rRNA from 1 species
UACAGAGGGGGCAAGCGUUGUUCGGAAUUACUGGGCGUAAAGGGCGCGUAGGCGGCCUUCUAAGUCAGACGUGAAAUCCCUCGGCUUAACCGGGGAACUGCGUCUGAUACUGGAUGGCUUGAGGUUGGGAGAGGGAUGCGGAAUUCCAGGUGUAGCGGUGAAAUGCGUAGAUAUCUGGAGGAACACCGGUGGCGAAGGCGGCAUCCUGGACCAAUUCUGACGCUGAGGAGCGAAAGCCAGGGGAGCAAACGGG